rfam:Medicago truncatula strain A17 chromosome 5, whole genome shotgun sequence.
AAACAGCCCUCUAUGUUUUGAUUCUUUGGCAGUUUUGGACCCCCAAGGCAAAAAAAAUAAAAAAAAUAUUGACAUGUGGCACCUCACUUAGGGUGCCACAUCAGCGUUGAUCGAGUCAACAAUGGACUGGGGGUCCAAAACUGCCAAAGAAUCAAAACAUAAGGGGCUGUUU